GUCAAGCUUUCUUCUCUCCAUUGAUCCCUAUUAAAAGGAUUUCAGCCACUUAAUUUUUUUCUACCGUGGGUCAACCUUUAAUUAGAUCUAAGAUCAAUGUCAAAUGAGUUGGACAAUAGAAAUCAAGUGAUCAAUGAAAUAAACUUAUGUUCAACAACUAUGCCUUCUUUAGGUAUUUGAACCUACAUUGUUUUCACUAAUAACUUAAGGUAUCUUCUUUUCCCACCAACUCCCAUGAACUGGUUAUUACAAUGUACAAUGAAUACAAUUUACCACUCUCAUGACCUGAUUAUUAUAUCUUACCCACACCAAUCAGUGAG